rnacentral:lncRNA from 1 species
GUUGAUCCCCGCGAACGUGGCCGAAGACCAGACGCCAGGAUCGGACGACGGAUAAAAUACAGGCAAUAGGGCGCAAAUCUAUAGCCGAUGCGGUCACGCGAAUUUAGUAGUAGUUGCCGGCCCCGUAAAGGCAUGGCCGCAUGGGGAAGGCGAACCCUUGCGUCGUGCAAUGCAGUUGGGCUGUUGUGCAGGCAUGUGUUUUGGAGUGAAGCGCACACCUGACACCACCAAGC